GACGAACGCUGGCGGCGUGCUUAACACAUGCAAGUCGAACGGAAAGGCCCUGCUUUUGUGGGGUGCUCGAGUGGCGAACGGGUGAGUAACACGUGAGUAACCUGCCCUUGACUUUGGGAUAACUUCAGGAAACUGGGGCUAAUACCGGAUAGGAGCUCCUGCUGCAUGGUGGGGGUUGGAAAGUUUCGGCGGUUGGGGAUGGACUGGGGGCUUAUCAGCUUGUUGGUGGGGUAGUGGCUUACCAAGGGUUUGACGGGUAGCCGGCCUGAGAGGGUGACCGGCGUCCUGGGGACUGAGGUACGGCCCAGACGCGUACGGGAGGCAGCAGUGGAGAAUAUUGCACAGUGGGCGGGAGCCUGAUGCGGCAACGCCGCGUGCGGGAUGACGGCCUUCGGGUUGUGAACCGCUGUAGCCUGUGACGAAGCGUGAGUGACGGUAAUGGGUAAAGAAGCACCGGCUAACUACGUG
rnacentral:rRNA from 1 species